rnacentral:rRNA from 1 species
CCAGACUCCUACGGGAGGCAGCAGUGAGGAAUAUUUCACAAUGAGCGAAAGCUUGAUGGAGCAAUGCCGCGUGCAGGAUGAAGGCCCUCGGGUUGUAAACUGCUUUUAUAAGAGAAGAUUAUGACGGUAACUUAUGAAUAAGGGACGGCUAACUACGUGCCAGCAGCCGCGGUCAUACGUAGGUCCCGAGCGUUAUCCGGAGUGACUGGGCGUAAAGAGUUGCGUAGGCGGUCAAGUUAGCGAGCGAUGAAAACUAUCGGCUCAACCGAUAGCUUGUUGUUCGAACUGCUUGACUCGAGAGUAUCAGAGGUCGCUGGAAUUCCUAGUGUAGCAGUGAAAUGCGUAGAUAUUAGGAAGAACACCGAUGGCGUAGGCAGGCGACUGGGAUAUUUCUGACGCUAAGGCACGAAAGCGUGGGUAGCGAACCGGAUUAGGUACCCGGGUAGUCCACGCCGUAAACGAUGGAUGCUAAUUGUUUGAGGUAUCGACCCCUCGAGUAAUAAAGCUAACGCGUUAAGCAUCCCGCCUGUGGAGUACGGCCGCAAGGCUAAAACAUAAAGGAAUUGACGGGGGCCCGCACAAG